UGGAUAGCAAAUUUCUUAAUUUUCCUCAAAAUUAUUUAAAUUCUAGCCUAUUCUAUUAUAAUUUAUUUCAAUUCUAGACUAUCCAAUUCCAAUUUUAUUUCAAUUAUAACUAUCCUCUUCCUUUCAAUUCUAGCCGAUUUUAUUACAAUUUUAGCUAUUCUAUAUCCAAUUAAAUUUGAUUUUAAGACUCCAUCUAUUAAUCUCAUCCGUUCAUUUAAAUAAUUAAAUUCUAAUCAAAUCCUAACCCUCUAUCUCUACCUAAUCUAACGGUUGAGAUCAACUUUUCCUAUCUCUUUCUUUAACACCAAAGACCCCAAAACAUAAAAUUCUAAUUCAUUCUCCCUCCCCUCUCCCUGGCAGCCGCCACCUCCCCCUUUAUCUCUUUCUCUCCUCGUUUUCUUUUCUCCGGCGAAACGCCGCCGCCCUCCGUCCCUCUCUUCAUCCUUUCUCUUCUCCUCUCCUCCGCCCCUUUCUCCUCUUCCUUUUCUUCCCCUCGCCUUCUUCUCCCUUUUUCUCAGGCCACCAGCUGCAACUAGGCAGCAAGUGAAGCGGCAACCGCCAGCAACGCCGACGACGAGCAGCCAUCAGCAGCAGCAUUACAACUAGAGACACCCACCAGCCGCCCCUCACCCUCCAUUUCUUUCUCCACUUUCCUCCCUUCUUCUCCCCUUUCUUAUUUCUAUUUUCUCUUCCUCUUUUUGCAGGAACCAGCAACUCCUACCGGUGAAGACAACACCGACCAGCAGCAGCGAGGACAAGAAGAACCGGACAACAGCUUGGCGAGAAACAACUCCGGCGGAGUUUCGAAGGUUUUAAGGUUUCAAACUUGAAGUUCAAGUUGAAGAUUAGCUAUGAAGAGAUUACUUUGUUUAAUUCAUGUAUUUGAAUCUAUAUAUUUCUUUUUUUUAAAAAAAUAUUUGUAUAACUCAAAAGAUCUCAUGUAUAAAAUAUAUUUGGGGAUCGCCUAAGGGGAGGGGGAAUUAUAUGUUAAUUUGCAAA